UGUAGGCGGUGCGGUAAGUUGGGCGUGAAAUCCCCGAGCUUAACUCGGGUGGGCCGUUCAAGACUGCCGUGCUAGGGUGCGGGAGAGGGAAGUGGAAUUUCCGGUGUAGCGGUGAAAUGCGUAGAUAUCGGGAGGAACACCUGCGGCGAAGGCGGCUUCCUGGACCGUAACCGACGCUGAGGCGCGAAAGCUAGGGGAGCAAACAGGAUUAGAUACCCUGGUAGUCCUAGCCCUAAACGAUGAGCACUGGGUGUGGCCCCUCACGGGGCCGUGCCGAAGCUAACGCAUUAAGUGCUCCGCCUGGGAGUACGGUCGCAAGGCUGAA
rnacentral:rRNA from 1 species